rnacentral:rRNA from 1 species
CACGUAGUUAGCCGGCGCUUCUUAUCCAGCUACCAUCAACCCACCCACAAGGGACAGGCCUGCUUCACUGGCGAAAGAGGUUUACAACCCGAAGGCCUCCAUCCCUCACGCGGCGUCGCUGCAUCAGGCUUGCGCCCAUUGUGCAAUAUUCCCCACUGCUGCCUCCCGUAGGAGUCUGGGCCGUGUCUCAGUCCCAGUGUGACCGUCCACCCUCUCAGGCCGGCUACCCGUCACCGCCUUGGUAGGCCAUCACCCCACCAACAAGCUGAUAGGCCGCGAGCCCCAUCCCCCACCAAAACAAUAUCUUUCCCACACCCACCAUGCAGCAGGCACAGAAUAUCCCGUAUUAGCCACACUUUCAUGCGGUUAUCCAGAAGAAGGGGCAGGUUACUCACGUGUUACUCACCCGUUCGCCACUCAUCCACACCCACAAGAGAAAAGUGCUUCACCGUUCGACUUGCAUGUGUUAAGCUACGCGCCAGCGUCGU